AGUCCAUCAAUCAACUUCCUGGAUACUCAUGACCUCACUGACAAGAAGGCCAAGCACAGAGAAAUCAAUUACAAGACUGGAUGUAACAUCAAGAAAGAAUGGUCAUUCCCAUGUUCCUGUGCUUUAGCCAAAGCAAUCUUUGGUUUGCCCCAAACACAAAAUGGAAGCUAACAGCAAAAGCCUUGUAACAGCAUUUCCGUUCAUGAAGUGUUUUAUCACAGCAAAAUAGACGAGGAAAGACUCACAAAUGCAUGAUAGGAACUCAAAGAGGCAGCAAAUUCCACAUGUACUGCAUUCAAUUCAAAAUUUAAAGGGGAAAAAGAACAAUGAAGGAUUCCUAAUGCAUCAGUUCCACUUUGGAAACAAGAUGAGAUGAUUCAGAACUACAGGGAAACUCCUGGAUGAGAAGAUCGCUGAAAGCAUCACAAGUUACUAGCAGCCUCUCUUGCCAAAGUGUUCAUAAUUCAGAUUAUUCAUAAUGCAUCACAGCUCUUGUGCAUAAGGACUCUUUUGUAAGUCAAAGCAGUUAGUCAUACAAGUUCUCUGGAGAAAUGUUAAGGCACCAAGAGAGAAAGCAAACAGCACUAGCUGAAGACCAGUGAUUUUUACAGAAGGAGUGAAAGGCACCUCUUACCCAAUGAAUGCAUGAAACGGCUGACUCUCCGAGCUGGCUGUAACUACCUUGGCGGUGGGAAACAAUGUUCUACAUAACUGCACGGGCAGCAAAGUGAAUAAUGAAAUCCACAGCUUUUAUGAAAACCUCAAGGACGGAGAUAGGAUUUUCUCCCUCCACUCUAUCAUCAUUCCAGAUGAACUAUCAGCUUAUGGAGUUAAUAUGGUAAAAUCUGUAAUUAUCUAAUUGCUUCUAAGGCUAGAGAAGCAAGCUGGCUCACAUUUUGCUUUGAACUAGUUGAGCGUGAGGCCUGCUUCCGCUUGCAAUUGCCUGCCUGGCAUCUCUUUUCAUCCUCUACAUUUGCAAAGAAAUCAAACAUGGGGAAAUAAUGCCUUACAGCCCGAGGGCCACACUUCCUUCUGAGCAACCUUCCAGGGGCCACAUGCCAAUGAUAGGCAGGACCCAGAGGCAAAAGUGGGCAGGGCAAUGAAUGUAAAGUUUGUCUUUGUACAAUAGGGCAGGUUCUACACAUGCUCACUUGCCCAUCUCUACCAUCCAUCCAGGGAAGCAAGAGGCAUGAUUAUAGUUCAAGGACACAUUCCAGCCCAGCAAAAGCACACAAGGAGGGCAUGCAGGAAGACCAGUCAGUGGUGCAAAGUCUGACUGAGGAGAAUCCUGAGCACCAGAUACAGAGGCUUGAGUGAGGGACACUUUUGGCCCCUGGCUCUGAGGUUCUCCAUCCUGGAAACAGAAGGUGCCACUGGAGCUACAAGGAAAGGAGUGG